GCAAGGAACCAAUUUCAAAAGAAGAAGGAAGAGUUCGUCAAGUUCCUUGCUGAAAGCUCAGCAUAUCAAGCUCAGGUAACCCCACAUCUUCAUGUUUCGGUACAGUGAUUGAUUGACGCUCGAGAAUCGGAUGAAGAUAAAAAGAAAACUGCCGCUUCAUAAGCGGAAUUCGAAAGUUGUCGGUUCCAUAUUUAUUUCGAAUCGAGCUAACCAUGCUAUGAUUCGUUGAUAGUUGACAGUUCUGAAAUCUGCCAAUUCACUGCAAAUGACAUUAGCUGGUUUUACAGGCUUCAAUGCAGCAGCAUCAAUAUCAACAACAACUGCAGCAGCAGCAGCAACAUCAACAGCAGCAGCAGCAACAACAACACCAGCAGCAGGCUCCAUAUCAUCCAAUGAUGCAUCAGAAUAGCUUCACUAGUAGGUGACGGAUUGCUGCACAUACAUCGAAGUUUCAAGCUUGGGAUGAAAUGGAUUGAAGGAAA
rnacentral:lncRNA from 1 species